UACGUAGGGUGCAAGCGUUGUCCGGAAUUAUUGGGCGUAAAGGGCUCGUAGGCGGUCCAUCACGUCGGGAGUGAAAAGCUGGGGCUUAACCCCAGUCCUGCUUCCGAUACGGGCGGGCUAGAGUUCGGUAGGGGAGACUGGAAUUCCUGGUGUAGCGGUGAAAUGCGCAGAUAUCAGGAGGAACACCGGUGGCGAAGGCGGGUCUCUGGGCCGAUACUGACGCUGAGGAGCGAAAGCGUGGGGAGCGAACAGG
rnacentral:rRNA from 1 species